CCUACGGGAGGCAGCAGUCGAGAAUCAUUCACAAUGGGGGAAACCCUGAUGGUGCGACGCCGCGUGGGGGAAUGAAGGUCUUCGGAUUGUAAACCCCUGUCAGAAGGGAAGAACGGUCACUGUGCUAAUCAGCAGUGAAUUGACGGUACCUGCAAAGGAAGCACCGGCUAACUCCGUGCCAGCAGCCGCGGUAAUACGGAGGGUGCGCGCGUUAAUCGGAUUUACUGGGCGUAAAGCGCUAGUAGGCGGUAUGUCAAGUCAAGGGUGAAAUCCCCUCGCUUAACGUGGGAACUGCCUUUGAAACUGGCAAACUGGAGUGUGUGAGAGGAUAGUGGAAGUCCAGGUGGAGGAGUGAAAUCCGUAGAUAUCUGGAGGAACAUCAGUGGCGAAGGCGACUAUCUAGCACAUAACUGACGCUGAGGAGCGAAAGCGUGGGUAGCAAACAGGAUUAGAUACCCUUGUAGUC
rnacentral:rRNA from 1 species